UCGGGAAUUUUGCGCAAUGGAGGAAACUCUGACGCAGUGACGCCGCGUAUAGGAAGAAGGUUUUCGGAUUGUAAACUAUUUUAGUCAGGGAAGAAAAAUGACAGUACCUGAAGAAUAAGCUCCGGCUAACUACGUGCCAGCAGCCGCGGUAAUACGUAGGGAGCAAGCGUUAUCCGGAUUUAUUGGGUGUAAAGGGUGCGUAGACGGGAAGACAAGUUGGUUGUGAAAGCCCUCGGCUCAACUGAGGAACUGCAACCAAAACUAUCAUUCUUGAGUGCGGGAGAGGAAAGUGGAAUUCCUAGUGUAGCGGUGAAAUGCGUAGAUAUUAGGAGGAACACCAGUGGCGAAGGCGACUUUCUGGACCGUAACUGACGUUGAGGCACGAAAGUGUGGGGAGCAAACAGGAUUAGAUACCCUGGUAGU
rnacentral:rRNA from 1 species